GCGGAAUUAGCUCAAUUGGCAGAGCGCGACCCUUCCAAGGUCGAGGUCGAGGGUUCGAGGCCCUCAUUCCGCU
rnacentral:tRNA from 1 species